ensembl:snRNA U6 U6 spliceosomal RNA
GUGCUCGCUUCGGCAGCACAUAUACUAAAAUUGGAACGAUACAGAGAAGAUUAGAAAAUCCCAUUCAGAUAGGCGCCCCGUUUUU